rnacentral:rRNA from 1 species
AGUCGAGGGGUAUUGUCUUCGGAUAUAGAGACCGGCGCACGGGUGCGUAACGCGUAUGCAAUCUACCUUUUACAGAGGGAUAGCCCAGAGAAAUUUGGAUUAAUACCUCAUAGUAUAGCUCUACCGCAUGGUAGUACUAUUAAAGUCACAACGGUAAAAGAUGAGCAUGCGUCCCAUUAGCUAGUUGGUAAGGUAACGGCUUACCAAGGCAACGAUGGGUAGGGGUCCUGAGAGGGAGAUCCCCCACACUGGUACUGAGACACGGACCAGACUCCUACGGGAGGCAGCAGUGAGGAAUAUUGGACAAUGGGCGCAAGCCUGAUCCAGCCAUGCCGCGUGCAGGAUGACGGUCCUAUGGAUUGUAAACUGCUUUUGUACGAGAAGAAACACUGCUUCGUGAAGCAGCUUGACGGUAUCGUAAGAAUAAGGAUCGGCUAACUCCGUGCCAGCAGCCGCGGUAAUACGGAGGAUCCAAGCGUUAUCCGGAAUCAUUGGGUUUAAAGGGUCCGUAGGCGGUUUAGUAAGUCAGUGGUGAAAGCCCAUCGCUCAACGGUGGAACGGCCAUUGAUACUGCUGAACUUGAAUUAUUAGGAAGUAACUAGAAUAUGUAGUGUAGCGGUGAAAUGCUUAGAGAUUACAUGGAAUACCAAUUGCNGAGGCAGGUUACUACUAAUUGAUUGACGCUGAUGG